rnacentral:rRNA from 1 species
CUGCCAGUUCAUCAGCACACGUUUUCCUUAAUCAAGAACGAAAGUUAGGGGAUCGAAGAUGAUCAGAUACCGUCGUAGUCUUAACCAUAAACUAUGCCGACUAGGGAUCGGGCGUUGUUCUUUUUAUGACUCGCUCGGCACCUUACGAGAAAUCAAAGUUUUUGGGUUCUGGGGGGAGUAUGGUCGCAAGGCUGAAACUUAAAGGAAUUGACGGAAGGGCACCACCAGGAGUGGAGCCUGCGGCUUAAUUUGACUCAACACGGGAAAUCUCACCAGGUCCAGACACAAUAAGGAUUGACAGAUUGAGAGCUCUUUCUUGAUUUUGUGGGUGGUGGUGCAUGGCCGUUCUUAGUUGGUGGAGUGAUUUGUCUGCUUAAUUGCGAUAACGAACGAGACCUUAACCUACUAAAUAGUGCUGUUNGCUUCGGCUGAACUGNCACUUCUUAGCAGGGACUAUCGAUUUCAAGUCGAUGGAAGUUUGAAGCAAUAACAGGCUCUGUGCAUGCCCUUAGACGUUCUGGGCCCCACGCGGCGCUACACUGGACGGGAGCCAGCCAAGUACUAUCCUUGCCCGAAAGGUCCGGGUAAUCUCGUGAAACUCCGUCNUGCUGGGGAUAGAGCAUUGAAAUUAUUGCUCUUCCACGAGGAAUUUCCUAG